GGCGCUCGGCAAACGUGGAGCCGACUUGUGCCCGGAGAACUGCUUUACAUACUUCCGUCUCUGGACGUAGCCCGUACCCUACAAGAACUCGGCAGCUCCUGCCAGAAGCAUGAAGGGAUUUUUCUCCAGUAUUUACUGUGAGGACCUGAUGAACUCCUGGAGGUAAAACCCACAAAAGUGUGAGUCGGUCCCUCUGGAGUUUAUAACUUUUCAGACUUGGCUGCACCGAGCCUCCAGUGAUUUGUCAAUUACAGUUCAAGUUUCCCUACCCCAGCACCGGUUCCUGUAGAGGUUUUCAGCUCAUGAGUUUCUACUCUGUCUUAAAAAAGCAUUGUCAUCCACUAUGAUUCAGAUUAAACCUAUUAACUCUGGCCUCUAUCCUACUAUUCUACUGACAUUACAGGGAACUUCAUAAUUCCAUCUUCCCGAACCUUUUUAUCUUUUUGAGCAAAGAACUGUUCCAGGUGCCUUUUACAGUCUUCCAAGGAAUUGAAAUUUUUUCCAUUAAGAGAAUUUUGUAAAGACUGAAAUGAAUGGAAAUCCAAAGGUACAACGUCUGGUGAAUACAGAGGAUGAAUCAGAACUUCCCAGCCAAGCUGUAACAGUUUUUGCCUGGUCAUCAAACAAACACAUGGUCUUGUGUUACCCUGAUGGAAGAUGAUGUGUUUUCUGUUGACUAAUUCUGGAUGCUUUUCGUUGAGUGCUGCAUUCAGUUGGUCUAAUUGGGAGCAGUACUUGUUGGAAUUAAUCGUUUGGUUUUCCGGAUGGAGCUCAUUAUAUAGGAUUCCCUUCCAAUCCCAUCAUAUACACAACAUCACCUUCUCUGGAUGAAGACCGGCCUUUGGCGUGGUUGGUGGUGGUUCAUUUCACUUGCCUCAUGAUCUCUUCCAUUCCACAUUAUUGUACAGUAGCCGCUUUUCAUCGCCUGUCACAAUUUGUUUUAAAAACGGAACAUUUUCAUUACGUUUAAGUAGAGAAUAGCAUGCGGAAAUAUGGUCAAGAAGGUUUUUUUUUUGCUUAACUUAUGUGGAACCCAAACGUCAAAGUAAUGAACAUAAACAACCUGGUACAAAUGAUUUUCAAUGCUUGAUUUGGAUAUUUUGAGUAUGUGGGCUAUCUCCCACGUGGUAUAAUGUUGAUUGUUCUCAGUUAAUGUCUCAAUUUGAUCGCUAUCAACUUCAACUGGUCUACCCAACCGUGGAGCAUCAUCCAGCGAGAAAUCUCCAGCACAAAACUUCACAAACCACUUUGACAUGUUCGAUCAGUCACAGCACCUUCUCCAUACACUGCACAAAUCUUUUUUCUUUUUUUUCUUUUUUUGGCUGCACUGGGUCUUCGUUGCUGCGUGCGGGCUUUCUCUAGUUGUGGUGAGUGGGGGCUUACUCUUUGUUGUGGUGCACAAGCUUCUCAUUGCGGUGGCUUCUCUUGUUGCGAAGCAUGGGCUCUAGGCACACAGGCUUCAGUAGUUGUGGCUCAUGGGCUCAGUAGUUGCAUCCCGCAGGCUCUAGAGCACAGGGUCAGUAAUUGUGCUGCACAGGCUUAGUUGCUACACGGCAUGUGGGAUCUUCCUGCACCAGGGAUUGAACCCACCUUGUCCCCUGCACUGGCAGGCAGAUUCUUAACCACUGCACCACCAGGGAAGUCCCACAAAUCUUAAUUUGUGUUUUGGUUGUGUUUUUACCUUUCUUGAAAUAAUAAAGCGUAAUAUGCUGAAAAUGUUUUUUCUUCCAUCUUCAAUAUUAAGAUGGCUAUACAAAAAUUAGCCAGUUUUGGUAAGUCUUUUUUUAAAUGCACGUUGAUAUGACAGUUGUCACAUACAAUCUAACAAAAUUGUUUCAAAUGAAGUUAAAGACAACUAAGGGCUACUACAGCCAUCUUGUGGAAAAAACCGAAUGAACCUUUUGGCCAAUCCAAUAUAUACCACAUCUUCUUUAUCCAUUCACCUGUUGAUGGGCACGUAGGUUGCUUCCGUAUCUUGGCUAUUGUAAAUAAUGCUGCUAUGAACAGAGGGGUGCAUGUAUCUUUUUGAAUUCAUGUUUUUGUUCUCUUUGGAUAUUUACCCAGGAGUAGAAUUGCUGAAUCAUGGUAGUUCUAUUUUUAGUCUUUUGAUGAACCUCCAUACUGUUUUCCAUAUUGGCUGCACCAAUUUACAUACCCACCAACAGUGUAGGAGGGUUCCCUUUUCUCCACAUCUGUUAUUUGUAGACUUUUUGAUAGUAGCCAUUCUGACAGGUAAGAGGUGAUAUGGCAUUGUUGUUUUUGAUUUGCAUUGUCUAAUAAUUAGUGAUGUGGCACAUCUUUUCAUGUGCCUGUUAGACAUUUUUCCAAAGUAGACAUAUGGAUGACUACUUAGGUCUUCUGCUCAUUUUCUGAUUGGGUUGUUUAUUUUUCUAUAUUGAAUUGUAUAAGCUGAUUAUAUAUUUUGGAUAUUAACCCCUUAUUGGUCAUGUCUUUUGCAAACAUUUUCUCUCAUUCAGUAGGUUGUCUUUUCUUUUGUCGAUGGUUUCCUUUGCUGUGCAAAAGCUUUUACAUUUAAUUAGGUCCCAUUUGUUUAUUUUUGAUUUUAUUUCUUUUAUGUUAGGAGACAGAUCCAAAAAAUAUUACUACAAUUGAUGUCAAAUAUUUACUGAUCUCCUAUCAUGUGUCAUGCAGCAUAACAACUGUGAUAGAACAUCUUAUAAUAAACAAAUCCAAAUGCUUUUCAUUUUAACAAAAUAUUGAAAAAAAUAUAUAUCCACUUAAAAAGCUUAUUUCCAGAAGAAAAUCUACAACUUAAAUGUUAUAAGAACAUUUUAAAAGACCAUAAUGGUCAGAAUUAUUGACGAUUCAGCCUACUAUUUUGUCUUCAAAGGUGAUCCCAAAAUAACAUUUCAUAGGAUAACAGGGUUAUCCUCCACCUGAGAUUUUAAACUCACUGGCUUCCCUUAAUAUACUAUUAUGAUUCUGGCAUUCAUGAAUUUAUCAUCUAGAUCCACAGUUGAACUACUUACAUUUUGAGGCUAUUUCACUUGGAAGGGUAUCAAGAUCUACCAACUUAUGAAGACAGUACAUUCCUUAAUUUUUUCUAAAACAAUCACUUUCAGUUUUUAUGAACUACUCCCCUAAUUCUUUCCUCCUGUCUUUCCACAGAUGUAUCUAUUUUCCAUCCAAUAAAUGUAAGUGGAAUAAAAUAUUUAUUUAAAAGGCAAAACUUCUGACUAGGUAUUUUUUUAAAUGCAGCUAUAUGGGGGCUUCCCUGGUGGCGCAGUGCUUGGGGGUCCGCCUGCCAAUGCAGGGGAUGCGGGUUCAUGCCCCCGGUCUGGGAGGAUCCCACAUGCCACGGAGCAGCUGGGCCCGUGAGCCAUGGCCGCUGGGCCUGCGCGUCCGGAGCCUGUGCUCUGCAAAGGGA